rnacentral:rRNA from 1 species
UACGUAGGGUCCGAGCGUUGUCCGGAAUUAUUGGGCGUAAAGGGCUCGUAGGCGGUUUGUCGCGUCGGGAGUGAAAACCUACAGCUUAACUGUGGGCUUGCUUUCGAUACGGGCAGACUUGAGGCAUGCAGGGGAGAACGGAAUUCCUGGUGUAGCGGUGAAAUGCAUAGAUAUCAGGAGGAACACCUGCGGUGUAGACGGCUUACGUGGACCAUAACUGACGCUGAGGCACGAAAGCGUGGGUAGCAAACAGG